rnacentral:rRNA from 1 species
CUACGGGUGGCUGCAGUGAGGAAUAUUGCACAAUGGGGGGAACCCUGAUGCAGCAACGCCGCGUGGAGGAUGACGCAUUUCGGUGUGUAAACUCCUUUUAUAUGUCAAGAAAAUGACGGUAGCAUAUGAAUAAGCACCGGCUAACUCCGUGCCAGCAGCCGCGGUAAUACGGAGGGUGCAAGCGUUACUCGGAAUCACUGGGCGGAAAGGACGCGUAGGCGGGUUGGAAAGUCAGGUGUGAAAUCCUACAGCUUAACUGUAGAACUGCACUUGAAACUUCUAAUCUAGAGUAUGGGAGGGGGAGAUGGAAUUAGUGGUGUAGGGGUAAAAUCCGUAGGUAUCACUAGGAAUACCUAAAGCGAAGGCGAUCUCCUGGAACAUUACUGACGCUAAGGCGUGAAAGCGUGGGGAGCAAACAGGAUUAGAUACCCUCGUAGUC